UGGAAGGGCGGUAUUUAUUAGAUAACAAGCCAAUAUUCCUCUGGUCUAUUGUGGUGACUCAUAAUAACUGAUCGAAUCGCAAGGCCUAUGGCCGCGGUAAGUCAUUCAAGUUUCUGCCCCAUCAGCUUUCGAUGGUAGUGUAUUGGACUACCAUGGCGUUUACGGGUAACGGAGGAUUAGGGUUCGAUUCCGGAGAGGGAGCCUGAGAAACGGCUACCACAUCUAAGGAAGGCAGCAGGCGCGUAAAUUACCCAAUCCUGACUCAGGGAGGUAGUG
rnacentral:rRNA from 1 species